rnacentral:tRNA from 1 species
GCAUCAUUGGUCUAGUGGUAGAAUACAACGUUGCCAUCGUUGUGACCCGAGUUCGAUUCUCGGUUGAUGCA